UUUCCGUAGGUGAACCUGCGGAAGGAUCAUUUUUGAAUAACCGAGGUUCGAGGUCUGUCGCUUACCCGUAAGGUCGUGCACGCACGAGUGCCCUCACUCACAUCCAUCUCACCCCUAUGUUCACAACCGCGUGCGUCCCCAUUUGACCUCCUCGGAGGGGACCUUACGUUUUCACUCCAUCUAUUGAUUAAAUGUAGAAUGUAUUUUUUGUUUUUCCGAUAACGCCGUCUAUACAACUUUCCACAUCGAAUCUCUUGGCUCUCGCACCGAUGAAGACCC
rnacentral:misc_RNA from 1 species